UCGGGUAUAGUGUAAUAACUAAUAACAUUGCCGCCUCUCAUGGACUGAGAAUGGUUGCACGCGGCAGCUCGGGGUUCGAUUCCCCGUACCCAAA